UUCUGUAGGGAUCAGAAUACCUUCAGCCACAGCUGCAGCUGGUCCUCUGGAAGGUCCUUGCCACAGAAGAGCAUGUUCUUGUUAUUGGCAAAGCUGUCACCAUUUAAUUGGUAUCAGAUUCUGACUUAAAUUAGUAAUGUUC
rnacentral:snoRNA from 1 species